rnacentral:rRNA from 1 species
UUAUCUGGUUUGUCCUGCCAGUAGUCAUACGCUCGUCUCAAAGAUUAAGCCAUGCAUGUGUAAGUAUAAAUAAUUUUACUUUGAAACUGCGAAUGGCUCAUUAUAUCAGUUAUAGUUUAUUAGAAAUAUUUUACUACUUGGAUAACCGUAGUAAUUCUAGGGCUAAUACAUGAGUAAAACCUCAACUUCGGAAGAGGUGUGUUUAUUAGUAUGAAAACCAUAUAUCUUCGGAUAUAAUAGUGAGUAAUAAUAACCUUUCAUAUCGUAUGUCGUAAGAUAACGAUAGUUCUUUCAAGUUUCUGCCCUAUCAGCUUUCGAUGGUAGUAUAUGGGACUACCAUGGCAGUAACGGGUAACGAAGAAUUUGGGUUCGAUUUCGGAGAGGGAGCCUGAGAGAUGGCUACCACAUCCAAGGAAGGCAGCAGGCGCGUAAAUUACCCAAUCCUGACAUAGGGAGGUAGUGACAAUAAAUCACAAUGCGGAACUUUUAGUUUUGCAAUUGGAUUGAGAACAAUGUACAAAUGUUAUCGAUAAACAAUUGGAGGGCAAGUCUGGUGCCAGCAGCCGCGGUAAUUCCAGCUCCAAUAGCGUAUAUUAACGUUGUUGCAGAAAAAAAAGCUCAAUGGCUGAUCAAUA